rnacentral:rRNA from 1 species
GACGAACGCUGGCGGCGUGCUUAACACAUGCAAGUCGAACGGUGAAGCGCCUUCCUUUUUGGUGGGUGUGGAUGAGUGGCGAACGGGUGAGUAACACGUGAGUAACCUGCCCCCUUCUUCUGGAUAACCGCAUGAAAGUGUGGCUAAUACGGGAUAUUCUGGGUCUGUCGCAUGAUGGGUCUGGGAAAGAUAUUGUUUCGGUGGGGGAUGGGCUCGCGGCCUAUCAGCUUGUUGGUGGGGUGAUGGCCUACCAAGGCGGUGGCGGGUAGCCGGCGUGAGAGGGGGGACGGUCACACUGGGACUGAGACACGGCCCAGACUCCUACGGGAGGCAGCAGUGGGGAAUAUUGCACAAUGGGCGCAAGCCUGAUGCAGCGACGCCGCGUGAGGGAUGGAGGCCUUCGGGUUGUGAACCUCUUUCGCCAGUGAAGCAGGCCUGCCUCGUUUGUGGGUGGGUUGACGGUAGCUGGAUAAGAAGCGCCGGCUAACUACGUG